rnacentral:misc_RNA from 1 species
CCGAGUUUACAACUCCCAAACCCCUGUGAACAUACCUUUAUGUUGCCUCGGCGGAUCAGCCCGCGCCCCGUAAAACGGACGGCCCGCCGCAGGAAACCCUAAACUCUGUUUUUAGUGGAACUUCUGAGUAUAAAAAGCAAAUAAAUUC